rnacentral:rRNA from 1 species
AAACCAGCACCUCAAGUGGUCAGGAUGAUUAUUGGGCCUAAAGCAUCCGUAGCCGGCUCUGUAAGUUUUCGGUUAAAUCUGUACGCUUAACGUACAGGCUGCCGGGAAUACUGCAGAGCUAGGGAGUGGGAGAGGUAGACGGUACUCGGGAGGAAGUGGUAAAAUGCUUUGAUCUCUCGAUGACCACCUGUGGCGAAGGCGGUCUACCAGAACACGUCCGACGGUGAGGGAUGAAAGCUGGGGGAGCAAACCGGAGUAGAAACCCCAGUAGUCC